CAGGGCUGCGGGGUCUGCGGGGUCGCGGGGCCGCUCCCGCCGGCGGAGCGGCGCGUCCCGCCAGGUCCAGGGACCUAAGUUUUGCACAGAAGGCCAUAAGGGAACCCGGGGCGAGGAAGAGAAAUCACUGACAAUGACAAGCUGUGGGAAGAGGGAGUGAGCUGGGGGGGUGAUCCUGCACCCCAUGGUUGGGACACCUCCCCGUGGCAGCAUGGCCAGGAUGAGGCCGUCGCCCACCCCACACCGCCACGUGUCCCCGGGAUCUCGCCCGCCCCGCGGCCCCUCUGCCGUGCCGG